GUGAAAGCAAUGAGAGGAACUAGUAGCGAGUAAUUCUUCUAAAGAGAGUCGAUGGUUGGUGUGAAUCGAUGGAGAGGACUUGUGAAUCCAUCCUUGAGUAGAGUGCUGAAACAGAGUGAAGUAGGUACUUUCGGGACUAAUCCCGUUAUCAAUGUAAAGUGGAAAACACUAUGUUUUCAAUUUGGGUGGCAACGCGGGUCAACUCUCGUCCCUUUU
rnacentral:ncRNA from 1 species